rnacentral:tRNA from 1 species
GCCGAGGUGGCGGAAUCAGGCAGACGCACGGGACUUAAAAUCCUGUGGCCCCCAGGGGCCGUGUGGGUUCAACCCCCACCCUCGGCA